UACGUAGGCAGCAAGCGUUGUUCGGAGUUACUGGGCGUAAAGGGUGCGUAGGCGGUUUUUUAAGUUUGGUGUGGAAUCUCCCGGCUCAACCGGGAGGGUGCGCCGAAUACUGAACGGCUAGAGUGCGGGAGAGGAGAGUGGAAUUCCUGGUGUAGCGGUGAAAUGCGUAGAUAUCAGGAGGAACACCGGUGGUGUAGACGGCUCUCUGGACCGUAACUGACGCUGAUGCGCGAAAGCUAGGGGAGCAAACAGG
rnacentral:rRNA from 1 species